UACGUAGGGGGGCAAGCGUUGUCCGGAUUUAUUGGGCGUAAAGAGCGUGUAGGCGGCCUGAAAGGUCAGCUGUGAAAACUCGAGGCUUAACCUCGAGACGUCGGUUGAAACCAUCUGGCUAGAGUUCGGUAGGGGAGUCUGGAAUUCCUGGUGUAGCGGUGAAAUGCGCAGAUAUCAGGAGGAACACCGGUGGCGAAGGCGGGACUCUGGGCCGAUACUGACGCUGAGGAGCGAAAAGCGUGGGGGAGCAAACAGG
rnacentral:rRNA from 1 species